CUCCCUCCGUCCCAAAUUGUAUGUCGCUUUAGGAAAAAAAAAUUGUCCCAAAUUAUAUGUCGCUUUAAAAUACCAAUGCAACAUUAAUGUUACUUUUCCUAUUAUAACCUUAAUUAUUUAUUACUCUCUCUUCUUUCAAUUCUUUCAUUUAUCUUUCCCAUAUUAUUUAUUAAGGACAAUUUUGUAAAACAACUCAUAAUAUCUCUUUUCCACACAAUAUUAAUUGCAUUUCUUAAUAUGUGUGAAAUGCCCAAAACGUCAUACAAUUUGGGACGGAGGGAGU
rnacentral:lncRNA from 1 species